rnacentral:rRNA from 1 species
CCCUUAGAUGUUCUGGGCCGCACGCGUGCUACACUGAUGCAUUCAACGAGCCUAUCCUUGACCGACAGGUCCGGGUAAUCUUUGAAUCUGCAUCGUGACGGGGAUAGAUUAUUGCAAUUAUUAAUCUUCAACGAGGAAUGCCUAGUAGGCGCAAGUCAUCAGCUUGCGUCGAUUACGUCCCUGCCCUUUGUACACACCGCCCGUCGCUCCUACCGAUUGGGUGUGCUGGUGAAAUGUUCGGAUCGGCCGUUUGUCGCGGUUUCCGCGUCAUGUGGCUGAGAAGUUCAUUAAACCCUCCCACCUAGAGGAAGGAGAAGUCGUAACA